GUGACGGCGAAUGAUAAUACGGUAACUACGCUCGUAGAGGUUUAAGUGGCAAUAUCUCUGGACGCGGGUUCAACUCCCGCCGUCUCCACCA
rnacentral:tRNA from 1 species